CGUAACGAUAGCCGUGUGUGUGCAAUAAAGUAAUUCAGGUCAAGUACCUUGGUCAUAAAAAGAAACCCUUCUUGUGAGCUGAAUCGCUGAAAUCCCAUAAAGCCCACCUAAACAACAACAUUUUCUGCCUUACCAAGGCCUCCAGGCUGCCCAGAAGGCCCCUUUCCUUUCCUGGAAACAGCCUUGCAGGGGCCACUCAGGGGCAAGGGAGGAGCUGAAGGCUGCUUCCUGCAAAUCACAUGACCGAAGACUGCAUUUAUUCCCUGCCAUGCUUGCGUGAAACUGUACAGGGUGUCUGAAAAAAAAGCUGGUAUGUGACUGGGAGUGUGCUAUAUGUGGCCAGACAAUUUAUUUGAAUAAAUGCAGCUGUUUGUA